rnacentral:rRNA from 1 species
GGGUUGAAGGGAGCAGGGGCUAGCGUAGCGUAGCUUGGCUUAGCGGAACUCCGAGGGUGGUCUUAUCGAGGCGCUGUUGCUCGAAGGAGGGCGCUCGCUUUUCUAGCGUGUCUUCCUCCACGCCUUCACUCCCACACACGCGCGCGCUCCCUCUACCCUAGCCUACCGGCCUCGACCUUGCCCCAGUGGCCGCCCCGGUCUCCACUGCCACUCCUCUUCUGCUCCUGCCACCGCCGAGGCCGCGGCCGCGACCGCCUCCACGGGUGCAGCUGGCGGAGCCAUCUGUAGAGCGACGGCGAAGGGCUCUACUGAGGGGCGUAGUAUCUAGAGACGUUCCUCAACCACUUCCUCACCAGCAGGAACCUGUCGAGCACGAAGAGUUAGAGCUGCCACAGGCCGCCGUAGUGGUUGUACAACGACUUCCAUAGACAGUUCCUUCCGAGACUAUCACUCAGCAGACAUUGACAAGCCGACAUACCGGGUUUAUGUCUGAACCACUAGCUAGCCCUCUCCCUUAACGUCGACGUCCCAAGCCCCGAGCCAAUGAACCUCAUAAACUCUUACCUCACCAAAGCAGUAAGUAGGUACGAUCCUGUGAUAGAGGAAGUCUGUACUUCCUCGGAUCUUAACGGCGACUUUAACGGUUCGUCGAUGUCUUUAAAGUAGUUCAUCUAUAUGGCCCUAGUUUUCUUGGUGUCAACACCUUACUGCAUAAGUUCAAAAACUUUUUUCGAAGACAUAACUUCAAACUUCUAUUACUCUUCGUCUUCUCCAUACUCUACUAGAGAAAAUCUCUUUAUGUUCUACUUCAAUUUCUUGAAUUCCUAGAGAGGCUAGAAAACGUACGAGGACAACACAAACGUGUGUUACUGAACGAUAGCCCAUUAGACUACGACUUACUAAACCUUCUCUUCGAUAUAAAGUAACUAAAACUCAUACCCAGUAUAUCGAUGGCACCGAAACUGUAGCGCUUAGUAAAGUUACUCAUGCGUCCGAAACUCACACUGAUGUUGAACAUGGGUCUAUUUCUACAUGUUAUGGUAAAGAAGUCCUUAAUAGAUAGACUAUCUGGUUCACUCCAGGUUCUCGUCCUAGACCUACGGGAAAUAUGACUUUGCUUGUGAAAGUCCAAUCGUAGUGUGGAGAUGACCCGUAACACCCGUGAGUAAGUCCGUUCCCAUAGGGGUUAGCUAAAGCUAAUGGAACCUAUGAAGAAGGAUGCCAUGCCGCUUAUGUUCUUUGUCGCUCUCAAGACAAAGAGGAACCGCGUUCCGAAGGAAAGAAGUGACUCCUCACCGAUCACGAGUCUUCAACACAGGGGCUCGGUGAAGAAUCGGCGGGCGAAUAUGAAACCCCGUCCGUGCCUACUAGCCGAAACAUGACACAAUUCAUCCCUCAGAGCAGCAUACUAAUACAGUCAACACUCUAAGAAGGAAAAAGCAAAAUAAAAGGACGUCCUCCGUACAUCAAAGGUUAUCUUUCAACAUGUUAGACACUUAUUACAUGUGCACAACCAACGAUGUUUGUGUUCGGAUUACUUAAGACAAAACACAUAGUAACAUACGGGAGGUAACUAAUCUAAUGGGUUUCGAGAAAGUUGUACACUACUAAGAAAGGUGUUAUUUUUCUCGAAAAGGGGGAUGCCACAAACGUUACGCUCGUAUCUCAACACGAGUAGAACAUAGGAUAAAUUAUUCGAAUGGGUUAUGAUGAUGUGGAAUGUAUGUUAGUGUGGCUCGUGUGGUUGCGGUGUUGUGAUGAUACCGCUACUUAAUCUACUUCUACUACUUCAAGAAUCGGGUUUGCUUGCUAGGUGGAACGGUUGGAGUUGGAACGAUGUACGGACGAGAGCGUGUAUGAACCUCAUU